AUUAUUAUUAUUAUUAGGGGUUCAAGCACGCAGUGCUGAAACCCUCUUGUAAUUGUUAGGAUUAUUAUUAUUAUUAUUAUUAUUCUUCUGCCCUAAAACUGAUCGUGCAGACCAAACCGUAAGGCCUAGAGACUUGAAACUUGGCCAAAUGAUAGAGCUCAAUUUGGGGAGAACCUAUCAAAGUCUCAGCCCAAUUGGCCAAUAGGGGGCGCUACAGCGAUCGACAAUGUGUUUUUGCUCAUAGCUCCUAAACCGCUUGUCAUAGACUCAAAAAUUUUACAUUUUUGGAAUCCUUGGGUCAUCGCAAAAUAAAAACGGUCACUCUGAUUUUGGGUCUAGGAGGCCUCGUUUUUCCGCAAAUUUGACGUAUGUCCAAAACCUACUUUAACGAACUAGUCCUAGGUUUUUUGCCCGAUCGGAACCAAACCACUGCUGUAAUAUUCUGUGGACUCUCUAGAUCAAUAAUUAUCGAAAAAAUGUUGAAUUUUGUCCUUCGGUUAGCUAUAACUUGGUCAUUUUUAAAAGGGGUGUGGCCAAAUAUACUAAAAAGCCUAUAAAACCUAAAUGAAAACUCAAAACUUUAUGAAACUUGGUGGAAACAUGUAGCAGAUGACUCUUAACAAGCAUACAAAGAUUCAUGGAGAUCGGACCAUAGGUGGCGCUAUAACACUUAAAAGGGCAUCAAAAAACACAAGAUUUCUACAGAAAAUGACCUCAAAUUGUAGAACAUGUUCAUAUAUUCACACAAACACUAGAU
ensembl:lncRNA